rnacentral:rRNA from 1 species
UACAGAGGGGGCGAGCGUUGUUCGGAAUUACUGGGCGGAAAGGGCGCGUAGGCGGCCAACUAAGUCAGACGGGAAAUCCCUCGGCUCAACCGGGGAACUGCGUCUGAUACUGGAUGGCUUGAAUUCGGGAGAGGGAUGCGGAAUUCCAGGUGUAGCGGUGAAAUGCGUAGAUAUCUGGAGGAACACCGGUGGCGAAGGCGGUGCUCUGGGCCAGUACUGACGCUGAGGAGCGAAAGCGUGGGGAGCAAACAGG